GCGGGAUUAGUUUAAUGGCAGAACGCAACCUUCCCAAGGUUGAGAUACGAGUUCAAUUCUCGUAUCCCGCUCCA
rnacentral:tRNA from 1 species